AUACGUAGGGUGCAAGCGUUAAUCGGAAUUACUGGGCGUAAAGCGUGCGCAGGCGGUUUUGUAAGACAGAGGUGAAAUCCCCGGGCUCCACCUGGGAACUGCCUUUGUGACUGCCAGGCUAGAGUACGGCAGAGGGGGGUGGAAUUCCCCGUGUAGCAGUGAAAUGCGUAGAUAUGCGGAGGAACACCGAUGGCGAAGGCAAUCCCCUGGGCCUGUACUGACGCUCAUGCACGAAAGCGUGGGGAGCAAACAGGAUUAGAUACCCUGGUAGUCCACGCCCUAAACGAUGUCAACUGGUUGUUGGGUCUUCAUUGACUCAGUAACGAAGCUAACGCGUGAAGUUGACCGCCUGGGGAGUACGGCCGCAAGGUUGAAACUCAAAUGAAUUGACGGGG
rnacentral:rRNA from 1 species